AUCUUAUGCUUGCAGGGAUCACCAGAUGGACCUGAACAAUAUGUUGCAAUCAUGAAUGCAAUAUUCUCUGCCCAAUGCUCUGAGGUUCCUAUAGAUUCUUGUUACAUAGGUGCACAGAAUUCAGCCUUUCUGCAACAGGCUUCUUACAUAACUGUCG